ACUAUGUUCCAGUAUACAACCGAUGCAUAAUAGUCACAUAGAGUUCGAAUAUACUAUGAGUUAUUCGUCUGCAGUACAUCGGUCNUUGGAGGAACAAUUGUCGAUCAGUCGGUUUCGGAGCGUGCACACUGGUACCCGAAAGAUGGUGAACUAUGCUUGAGCAGAAUGAAGCCAGAGGAAACUCUGGUGGAAGUUCGUAGCGGUGUUGACGUGCAAAUCACUCGUCUGACUUGAGUGUAGGGGCGAAAGACUAAUCGAACCAUCUAGUUGCUGGUUCCUUCCGAAGUUUCCCUCAGGAUAGCUGGCAUUUGUUUGUAACAAUUUUAUCCGGUAGAGCGAAUGAUUAGAGGUGUUGGGAACGCAAUGUUCUCAGCCUAUUCUCAAACUUCGAAUGGGUAAGCAAGGCGUUUUGCUUUGAUUUUACGAUGAAAUCGCCCAAUUAGAAUGCAUAAAUGCCUAGUGGGCCAAUUUUGGUAAGCAGAACUGGCGAUGUGGAAUGAACCAAAAGUCAGGUUAAGGUGCCAGACAUUGGCGCUCAUGAAAUACCAGAAAAGGUGUUGGUCGAUAUAGACAGCAGGACGGUGGCCAUGGAAGUUGGAAUCCGCCAAGGAGUGUGUAACAACUCACCUGCCGAAUCGACUAGCCCUGAAAAUGGAUAGCGUUUGAGCGCCAGGCCCAUACCUGACCGUCUCAAUUACGCACUUUUUUCUUUUUUGAAAAAGGUGUAAUGAACGUUGAGACGGGUAGGAAGGUCGCGACAGUGUUGCUUUGAAGAGUUUUGAGCGUGAGCUCGCUCGGAGCCGCUGUUGGUGCAGAUCUUGGUGGUAGUAGCAAAUAUUCAAGUGAGAACCUUGAAGGCUGAAGUGGAGCAAGGUUCCAUGUGAACAGCAGUUGGACAUGGGUCAGUCGAUCCUAAGAAAACGGCGAAAGCUUGUUCGAAUUUGCGACAUGAAUUGUAAGACUGUGUGUGUUUAUUGUGUGUGCGUGUGCAGUUGUCGUAUGUUUUCGAAAGGGAAUCCGGUUGAUAUUCCGGAACCGAGUAACGGAGACAAAGAGUAGCGCUUUAAUCUCUCUGUGGGGUUGGCGUUCAACUCAAUCGCGCGGUAACGCAAGCGAACUCGGAAAAUGACCGUCGUGAGUUUCGAAAAGAGUUUUCUUUUCUUUUUAAGGGACGCAUUCCCUGGAACCGGGUUGUCCGGAGAUAGGGAUUCUGGUAUCCAUAAAACGCCGACUUUUUCACGGUGUUCGGAGCGCUCUCGUCGGUACGUGAAAAUCCGAGCGACGCCUGGUAAAUCUCGUACUUGGUCGUACUGAUAUCCGCAGCAGGUCUCCAAGGUGAAUAGCCUCUGGCC
rnacentral:ncRNA from 1 species